GAUGAACGCUGGCGGCGUGCCUAAUACAUGCCAGUCGAGCGAACAGACGAGGAGCUUGCUCCUCUGACGUUAGCGGCGGACGGGUGAGUAACACGUGGAUAACCUACCUAUAAGACUGGGAUAACUUCGGGAAACCGGAACUAAUACCGGAUAAUAUAUUGAACCGCAUGGUUCAAUAGUGAAAGACGGUUUUGCUGUCACUUAUAGAUGGAUCCGCGCCGCAUUAGCUAGUUGGUAAGGUAACGGCUUACCAAGGCAACGAUGCGUAGCCGACCUGAGAGGGUGAUCGGCCACACUGGAACUGAGACACGGUCCAGACUCCUACGGGAGGCAGCAGUAGGGAAUCUUCCGCAAUGGGCGAAAGCCUGACGGAGCAACGCCGCGUGAGUGAUGAAGGUCUUCGGAUCGUAAAACUCUGUUAUUAGGGAAGAACAAAUGUGUAAGUAACUAUGCACGUCUUGACGGUACCUAAUCAGAAAGCCACGGCUAACUACGUG
rnacentral:rRNA from 1 species